rnacentral:rRNA from 1 species
UACGUAGGGCGCAAGCGUUGUCCGGAAUUAUUGGGCGUAAAGAGCUCGUAGGCGGCUUGUCGCGUCGACUGUGAAAACCCGCGGCUCAACUGUGGGCGUGCGGUCGAUACGGGCAUCACUGGAGUUCGGCAGGGGAGACUGGAAUUCCUGGUGUAGCGGUGAAAUGCGCAGAUAUCAGGAGGAACACCGGUGGCGAAGGCGGGUCUCUGGGCCGAUACUGACGCUGAGGAGCGAAAGCGUGGGGAGCGAACAGG